rnacentral:lncRNA from 1 species
ACCCGUAUGUCGCGUUGAACUGUUGUGUGCCGGACUUCUUUCAUUUUUGUCCCGCGUGAUGUCGAUGUUAUUCGAGGAUUCUCUGUUCAUCUGUGUAUUAGGUCAUCAUUGUCGAGUUUUUGGUUCGGCGUCAACAUCGCUUGGAGGUUCCUGGUCAUCAUCGUGUCGGCUUGCCUUUCGUUUGCGAUCGUAGAUCUUACUCUCUCUCC